GAUGAACGCUGGCGGCGUGCCUAAUACAUGAAAGUCGAGCGCAUCGGGGACGGGUGAGCACAACGUGGAUAACCUCCUAUAAGACUGGGCUAACUUCGGGAAAACGGAGCUAAACCGGAUACUGAUAGAUGGAUCUGCGCUGCAUUAGCUAGUUGGUAAGGUAACGGAUUACCAAGGCAACGAUUCAUAGCAGACCGGAGAGGGUGAUCGGCCACACUGGAACUGAGACACGGUCCAGACUCCGACGGGAGGCAGCAUUAGGUAAUCGUCCGCAAGUGUCGAAAGCCUGACGGAGCAACGCCGCGUGAGUGAUGAAGGUCUUCUGAUCGGAAUACUCUGUUAUUAGGGAAGCGGGACCUAAUCAGAAAGCCGCGGAUCACUACGUGCCAGCAGCCGCGGUAAUAC
rnacentral:rRNA from 1 species